rnacentral:rRNA from 1 species
AGAGUUUGAUCAUGGCUCAGGAUGAACGCUGGCGGCGUGCCUUAGGCAUGCAAGUCGAACGGAAGCAGCAAUGCUUCAGUGGCAGACGGGUGAGUAACGCGUAGGAAUCUACCCCUAGGUAUAGGAUAGCCGGCCGAAAGGUCGGGUAAUACUGUAUGGUCUCGCAAGAGUAAAGGACUUAACGGUCCGCCAAGGGAGGAGCCUGCGUCCCAUCAGCUAGUUGGCGGGGUAAAUGCCCACCAAGGCGAUGACGGGUAGCUGGACUGAGAGGUCGAUCAGCCACAACUGCACUGAGACACGGGCAGUACAUCUACGGAUGGCAGCAACCAGGAAUAUUGCGCAAUGGACGAAAGUCUGACGCAGCGACGCCGCGUGGAGGAUGAAGGCCUUAGGGUCGUAAACUCCUUUUACCAAGCCGUUCACAGCUUGGAGAAUAAGCCUCUACUAACUACGUGCCAGAAGUCUCGGUAAUACGUAGGAGGCAAGCGUUAUCCGGAUUCAUUGGGCGUAAAGUGUGCGUAGGCGUUCCGUAAAGUCUUUGCUUAAAGACCAAGGCUUACCCUUGGGAGUGGCAGGGAUACUCGCGGAAUUGAGGAUUGAUAGGGAAGCUGGAACAGUUAGUGUAGCAGUGAAAUGCGUUGAUAUUAACU